rnacentral:rRNA from 1 species
GAUGAACGCUGGCGGCGUGCCUAGUACAUGCAAGUCGAGCGAACAGACGAGGAGCUUGCUCCUCUGACGUUAGCGGCGGACGGGUGAGUAACACGUGGAUAACCUACCUAUAAGACUGGGAUAACUUCGGGAAACCGGGGCUAAUACCGGAUAAUAUAUUGAACCGCAUGGUUCAAUAGUGAAAGACGGUUUUGCUGUCACUUAUAGAUGGAUCCGCGCCGCAUUAGCUAGUUGGUAAGGUAACGGCUUACCAAGGCGACGAUGCGUAGCCGACCUGAGAGGGUGAUCGGCCACACUGGAACUGAGACACGGUCCAGACUCCUACGGGAGGCAGCAGUAGGGAAUCUUCCGCAAUGGGCGAAAGCCUGACGGAGCAACGCCGCGUGAGUGAUGAAGGUCUUCGGAUCGUAAAACUCUGUUAUUAGGGAAGAACAAAUGUGUAAGUAACUAUGCACGUCUUGACGGUACCUAAUCAGAAAGCCACGGCUAACUACGUG